rnacentral:tRNA from 3 species
UCAGCUGGAUAGAGUACCUGGCUACGAACCAGGCGGUCAGAGGUUCGAAUCCUCUCGGACGCGCCA